rnacentral:rRNA from 1 species
UACGGGGGGGGCAAGCGUUGUUCGGAAUUACUGGGCGUAAAGGGCUCGUAGGCGGCCAACUAAGUCAGACGUGAAAUCCCUCAGCUUAACUGGGGAACUGCGUCUGAUACUGGAUGGCUUGAGUUCGGGAGAGGGAUGCGGAAUUCCAGGUGUAGCGGUGAAAUGCGUAGAUAUCUGGAGGAACACCGGUGGCGAAGGCGGCAUCCUGGACCGACAUUGACGCUGAGGAGCGAAAGCCAGGGGAGCAAACGGG